rnacentral:rRNA from 1 species
GACGAACGCUGGCGGCGCGCCUAACACAUGCAAGUCGAACGAGCGAGAGGAGGUUUACUUUCUCAAGCGAGUGGCGAACGGGUGAGUAACGCGUGAGGAACCUGCCUCAAAGAGGGGGACAACAGUUGGAAACGACUGCUAAUACCGCAUAAGCCCACGACCCGGCAUCGGGUAGAGGGAAAAGGAGCAAUCCGCUUUGAGAUGGCCUCGCGUCCGAUUAGCUAGUUGGUGAGGUAAUGGCCCACCAAGGCGACGAUCGGUGGCCGGACUGAGAGGUUGAACGGCCACAUUGGGACUGAGACACGGCCCAGACUCCUACGGGAGGCAGCAGUGGGGAAUAUUGCACAAUGGGGGAAACCCUGAUGCAGCGACGCCGCGUGGAGGAAGAAGGUCUUCGGAUUGUAAACUCCUGUUGUUGAGGAAGAUAAUGACGGUACUCAACAAGGAAGUGACGGCUAACUACGUG